CAGUCGCCGCGGGAAUACAGAGGGUGCGAGCGUUAAUCGGAUUUACUGGGCGUAAAGCGUGCGUAGGCGGCUUCUUAAGUCGGAUGUGAAAUCCCUGAGCUUAACUUAGGAAUUGCAUUCGAUACUGGGAAGCUAGAGUAUGGGAGAGGAUGGUAGAAUUACAGGUGUAGCGGUGAAAUGCGUAGAGAUCUGGAGGAAUACCGAUGGCGAAGGCAGCCAUCUGGCCUAAUACUGACGCUGAGGUACGAAAGCAUGGGGAGCGAACAGGAUUAGAGACCCGCGUAGUCCCUGUCUCUUAUAC
rnacentral:rRNA from 1 species